CUUUUAGAGUAUAAUUAAAAAUGGGUACUUUUACUUUUACUCAAGUACAUUGUUAGUGAAAAAACGGUACUUUUACUUCGUUACUGUGGGCGACGCUCCUCUCGUUACUUUAUCUUAAUGCAUACAAUUUAAAAAUCCUUCAGUUUAUUCCAAGCGCGCCAUCUACUUUUUUUUCUGGGCAAUGAGCGAUGCCCGUUCGCGAAUGAUUCAUUCUUUUGAGUCAAUUCUGUUCGAAGGCUUGAUCAAACCAGUUGGCAGACCAAUGAAUCGGUUCGCGAAUCAGUUUGAAUGAUUCGUUCAGUUCCCUGCCGCACGCGCUGAGUCGUCUGAAGCGGUUCUCACUCAGAGUUGUAACAUCAAGAGCGCUGAAGACGUGGCUUUGGAUCUACAGUCAGUUGAAAGCAAAUCUGCAAAGGCUAUGGUUUGCUAGCUAUGAAGAUCUUUAUUAGAUGAACGCGUGUGCUGUCGGUUCCACAGGUUGUGUCUUCAGGCUCCAUGGUGUCAAAUAAUUUUGACAGGCAAUGGAAAGGCAAUAUUUCUAGGGCGGGCUCUCCCUUCUGUUUUGCCCAUAGACUUUUCAAUCAAUCAAAGGCAGGCUUUUUUCCCACUGAAGUGUUCAAUAAUUCAUCGGACUCUGGCUUAGGGCCAUGGCUGAUGUUCAGAAGACGAAUUGCAAUGAAGAGGAGGAGGAGAAGAGUGGAUUGCAUUUUGGGCAAAUUUGGGCCGCAGACAAUUAAAUGUUGCUUACAGGGCCACGGCUCUCAUUGAGUUCACAGAAUCAGGCUUCAACGGAAACUUUUGAGCUGCUUCAUAAAAGUCAGUUUUCAUUUAUAUGUUCCUAAUUUCAUUCUGUUUUCAUCAUGUAGAAUUUUUAAUCAAGAUCAUCCAACCAAAAUUGGAAGAAAAAGUAAAUCAGAGAAAAAUGACUCAUAUACAGUAAUACAGCCAAUCCAAAUGUACUGAUAACUAAAUCAGACAUAAAAUACCACUAGUUUAUUGAAUACAGGGUAAGCCUACUCAAAUCUUUCAAAGAGAAAUUGUCCACAACGCAUACAAAUUUAAUCCCUGAUUGGGCUUAAUGGGUGACUGAGAAACUGUGCCAAAGAGUAUACCUAUGCAUCGCUGCAGCUCAAAAGCAGUAUAUCAGCAGCUUCAGCAGUCUGUGCACCCCUAAUGACAAAGUCGAGGGAGGAAAUCGGAAAAGUGAGACACUCCCAGAUGCUGUUUAAGCAGCUCUGCUGAGAUUUGAGGACUCAUCUGGGGCAACAC